AUAAGAAUGAGGGGCAGUGGCCUCCAUCCCUGCUCAUGACAUCAAUGACUUUCAAAGAACUGAAAUAAGGGGGAGGGAUCCCAGACUGAAAGAGACUCAGCCUGUGAGAUUUACUGCAGCGUAUGGAAAAGUGAAUAUGGUUAGUUCAUGCAGCAGGACCUCACAUCCAUCAACAAACUACAGUGGGAAAGAGCACCUUGGACACUUCCCUCAAUAUCUGAAAGCAAGGAAAUUGAGCUAUGGAAAAGGGAAGCAGUAUGAAUCAAUCCCUAGCAAAGCUGAGAGCCAUUAGGAAAUGGAACUUGCAACAGAAGCUACCCACAUGAAUUCAGCCUCACCUAUUCACCAGGAAGUUGCAAAGUUUGUAUUGCAGAAAGAAACAGUAGAGGGGUUUUAAGAUAAAUUAGUGUAAAGGCACAGUAAUACCUUUAAAUAGGAGUCUAUCGAAGAGGGAGAUGAAUUGGCAAUUAGAGACAGAGGUUAUACAGCAAAGGUUCGACUACUAGAAAUGGGUAAAAUUGUUCAGCCAAAACGUUUUUCAGUUGACCAAAAAAUUUUGCAAAUGCACGUCAAAUGGUUUUGAAAUAGAA